CCUACGGGAGGCAGCAGUGAGGAAUAUUGGUCAAUGGACGAGAGUCUGAACCAGCCAAGUAGCGUGAAGGAUGACUGCCCUAUGGGUUGUAAACUUCUUUUAUAUGGGAAUAAAAUGUUCCACGUGUGGGAUUUUGUAUGUACCAUAUGAAUAAGGAUCGGCUAACUCCGUGCCAGCCGCCGCGGUAAUACGGAGGAUCCGAGCGUUAUCCGGAUUUAUUGGGUUUAAAGGGAGCGUAGGUGGAUUGUUAAGUCAGUUGUGAAAGUUUGCGGCUCAACCGUAAAAUUGCAGUUGAAACUGGCAGUCUUGAGUACAGUAGAGGUGGGCGGAAUUCGUGGUGUAGCGGUGAAAUGCUUAGAUAUCACGAAGAACUCCGAUUGCGAAGGCAGCUCACUGGACUGCAACUGACACUGAGGCUCGAAAGUGUGGGUAUCAAACAGGAUUAGAUACCCUUGUAGUC
rnacentral:rRNA from 1 species